rnacentral:lncRNA from 1 species
UGUGCUAGACUCUUAACACAUGAAUGACGAGUAUUGAAUGCGAAGCUUCGUUCAGUCUCACAGUGUCAUAGGUUUUCGACAAUCCGGCAACUUCUUUGUGCUAGUGCGUCAUGCUUACAUGACAAAGGACUUGAUGUUUAAUUUUUAUAGAUCUGGCUACUACUAUAUGCAAAUAGGGAAAAUGUGAAUUAAAGUUUCUUUAUUUAUCCCAGUAUUACUCUACGUAAUUAGUUAUGCUUAUAUAUUAUGGGAUUAUAAGUCAAGACAUCUGAAGAAAAUGAAUAUCAUUUUUGCUCCUUAGCUGCAGGGAAAAGAAACAUGUGCAGAUGUUGAGGUAGUCAUAUCCAGUGAACCCAGGUAAUAAGUGAAGAUGAAUAUUACAUGUGUAUAUUACUUUUUCCACUGUCGUUAGAUUAUGUUCAGAAUAUUUCUGAUAUUUUUUUGGAAUGCUAGGACCAUCACAUAUAAAAAAGAACUUUAAAUCACCAAAAUGUUGAUUUCUUUUAUUGAAGAUCUCGAGGGUGAGACAAUUUUCAGCAGAUUCAGAGGAAUAGCUUAAGUACCAUACAGGGGAUGACACAAAUGGUAAUGAACACAUCAUGGAUCUUGCAUUAAUUUUCUUAUUCUAGCAGUAUAAUUUGUGCAGGGAAGACAUUCAUUUGUCAUGCCAUGGAAGUAUUGUUUGAAGUUUCCUUGCUGUCAAGACUUUUUUUUCAACAUCUAUGAGGUGGCAAGCAAAGUUAUGGUAACUGCAGCUCAUAUCAGGUAUAAUGUGAAAUGUAGGUCCAUCAUCUCAUCAUCCUUUAUGCCCUUUCUUUCCCUAAUAUUUUACAGCAAACCAACGGAUCAGCUAACCACAAGCUUAGUAUGUGGUAUACUGCAUAAAUAUCUAGCUUGGUAGAAAGCAUGGCCAGUAGAGCGUUUUCUAACCAUGCACUAGCAGUGCCCACUCCAUGCUACUGUUAUGUACACAGACGAGAAGUUUGUUUGAGAAAGAGUAUGCUUGCUGCCUUUCAUCUAAUAUCAUAUGUUUCUGUUUCCUAUGUGAAACUGAUGGUUCACGUCUCUAACUUCAACUGCUUUAUAGUUUUGCACAAUAAGUUUUCACUUUCUCGACUGGGUGCAG